rnacentral:rRNA from 1 species
UACGUAGGUGGCAAGCGUUGUCCGGAUUUACUGGGCGUAAAGGAUGCGUAGGCGGACAUUUAAGUCAGAUGUGAAAUACCCGAGCUUAACUUGGGUGCUGCAUUUGAAACUGGGUGUCUAGAGUGCAGGAGAGGUAAGUGGAAUUCCUAGUGUAGCGAUGAAAUGCGUAGAGAUUAGGAAGAACACCAGUGGCGAAGGCGACUUACUGGACUGUAACUGACGCUGAGGCAUGAAAGCGUGGGGAGCAAACAGG